rnacentral:rRNA from 1 species
GACGAACGCUGGCGGCGUGCUUAACACAUGCAAGUCGAACGGAAAGGCCCUGCUUUUGUGGGGUGCUCGAGUGGCGAACGGGUGAGUAACACGUGAGUAACCUGCCCUUGGCUUUGGGAUAACUUCAGGAAACUGGGGCUAAUACCGGAUAGGAGCUCCUGCUGCAUGGUGGGGGUUGGAAAGUUUCGGCGGUUGGGGAUGGACUCGCGGCUUAUCAGCUUGUUGGUGGGGUAGUGGCUUACCAAGGCUUUGACGGGUAGCCGGCCUGAGAGGGUGACCGGCCACAUUGGGAAUGAGAUACGGCCCAGACUCCUACGGGAGGCAGCAGUGGGGAAUAUUGCACAAUGGGCGGAAGCCUGAUGCAGCAACGCCGCGUGCGGGAUGACGGCCUUCGGGUUGUAAACCGCUUUCGCCUGUGACGAAGCGUGAGUGACGGUAAUGGGUAAAGAAGCACCGGCUAACUACGUG